rnacentral:lncRNA from 1 species
CCCCCCCGCCGCGCUCGGUGGUGCAGGCGGGGGGCGCUGGGGCGGGCGCCGCCCGCGGGAGGGGGCGGCACGGCCGGGAGCCGCGUGAGGAGGAGGUGGAGAAGGAGGAGGAAGUUUAUUGCCGAAGGGGAGCGGAGGGCAGCCCGGCGCCGCGUGAGCCCGCCGGGACCCAUGUGUCUGGGCUGCUGGAGGAGCCCGGGGGUCGGGCGUGCUGCGGUAUCGCCGCACUGUCUUCGCCCCGUGCCCCGUGCCCCGUGCCCCGUGCCAGCCUCAUAUCUGCGGGCAUCGCUGCUUCGUGCGUCCGCUGGGCUGGCGGGGCGCGAGCGUGAGUCGGAGCGGGAGCGUCAAUAAAAGCUGCGGGGGAACUGGGCGCGAGGAGAGCCGCGCGUCUUCAGGGGUGGCACGGAGCUGCGGGAAGGGUGUCGAGCGGAGAGCAGCGAUGGCUUCCUGCGGAGCUGUCACCAAGGCUGCUGUGCGGUGUUGGUGCUUUGCAGUGCAGCUCGGGAACGCUGCUGGGUAUUGCUUCUGCUUCAUAGGUGUGAAAACUCGUGCAAGGCUGUUCGGUGGAUGUGCUCGCAGGCAGGCAUCCUGCCCCACAGCCAUGUAA